GGAAUCUUGCACAAUGGGGGAAACCCUGAUGCAGCGACGCCGCGUGAGCGAUGAAGCCCUUCGGGGUGUAAAGCUCUUUCGGCAGGAACGAUAAUGACGGUACCUGCAGAAGAAGCUGCGGCUAACUACGUGCCAGCAGCCGCGGUAAUACGUAGGCAGCAAGCGUUGUUCGGAGUUACUGGGCGUAAAGAGUGCGUAGGUGGUUCUCUAAGUUCGGUGUGAAAUCUCCCGGCUCAACUGGGAGGGUGCGCCGAAAACUGGAGAGCUUGAGUAUGGGAGAGGAGAGCGGAAUUCCUGGUGUAGCGGUGAAAUGCGUAGAUAUCAGGAGGAACACCUGUGGUGCAGACGGCUCUCUGGACCAUUACUGACACUGAGGCACGAAAGCGUGGGUAGCAAACAGGAUUAGA
rnacentral:rRNA from 1 species